AUUGAACGCUGGCGGCAUGCUUUACACAUGCAAGUCGAACGGUAACAGGCCGCAAGGUGCUGACGAGUGGCGAACGGGUGAGUAAUGCAUCGGAACGUGCCCAGUCGUGGGGGAUAACGCAGCGAAAGCUGCGCUAAUACCGCAUACGAUCUAUGGAUGAAAGCGGGGGACCGUAAGGCCCCGCGCGAUUGGAGCGGCCGAUGUCAGAUUAGGUAGUUGAUGGGGUAAAGGCCUACCAAGCCAACGAUCUGUAGCUGGUCUGAGAGGACGACCAGCCACACUGGGACUGAGACACGGCCCAGACUCCUACGGGAGGCAGCAGUGGGGAAUUUUGGACAAUGGGCGCAAGCCUGAUCCAGCAAUGCCGCGUGCAGGAAGAAGGCCUUCGGGUUGUAAACUGCUUUUGUACGGAACGAAAAGGCUCUGGUUAAUACCUGGGGCUCAUGACGGUACCGUAAGAAUAAGCACCGGCUAACUACGUGCCAGCCGCCGCAGUAAAAC
rnacentral:rRNA from 1 species